CCUACGGGAGGCAGCAGUGGGGAAUAUUGGGCAAUGGGCGCAAGCCUGACCCAGCAACGCCGCGUGAAGGAAGAAGGCUUUCGGGUUGUAAACUUCUUUUCUCAGGGACGAAGCAAGUGCCGGUACCUGAGGAAUAAGCCACGGCUAACUACGUGCCAGCAGCCGCGGUAAUACGUAGGUGGCAGGCGUUUUCCGGAUUUAUUCGGUGUAAAGGGCGGUGAGGCGGGAGCGCAAGUCAGAUGUGAAAACUCAGGGCUCAACCCUGGGCCUGCAUUUGAAACUGUGUUUCUUGAGUGCUGGAGAGGCAAUCGGAAUUCCGGGUGUAGCGGUGAAAUGCGUAGAUAUACGGAGGAACACCGGUUGCGAAGGCGGAUUGCUGGACAGUAACUGACGCUGAGGCGCGAAGGCGUGGGGAGCAAACAGGAUUAGAUACCCUUGUAGUC
rnacentral:rRNA from 1 species